rnacentral:rRNA from 1 species
ACGGAGGGUGCGAGCGUUGUUCGGAAUCACUGGGCGUAAAGGGAGCGUAGGCGGCGUGGUAAGUCAGAUGUGAAAUCCCGGGGCUCAACCCCGGAACUGCAUCCGAUACUGCCAUGCUUGAGGGUUGGAGAGGUAGCUGGAAUUCCCGGUGUAGCGGUGAAAUGCGUAGGUAUCGGGAGGAACACCUGUGGCGAAAGCGGCGCACUGGACCACAACUGACGCUGAGGCGCGAAAGCUAGGGGAGCAAACAGGA